rnacentral:misc_RNA from 1 species
CAACUGAAAGAUGACCCUGCCAUACCUCCGGAACUGAUAGUCUUACCUUUAAAUGCUACUGUAGCUGAUCUUAAGAAGGAAGCAGCUAAAGCUUUUGAAGAAGUAUAUGUGAUGUUUAAGAGGUUUGAAGUUCAUGAAAUGGUUGAAUAUGGAUCUUUAGAAGAUUCAAUUACGGUUAAAUUUCUUGUUGGAACAAGUGGAUCAGUCAAGAUUAAAGGGACAUGCCCAUCAAGACAUGCAAUUAGCCAAUUUAGAAUGGAAAGAGGAACAGGGAGGUGGACAGUUGAUUGUAUGUGUGGGGCCAAGGAUGACGAUGGAGAGAAAAUGUUGGCU